rnacentral:rRNA from 1 species
ACGAGAAAGUCCCGGCACGGGAUGAGUAAAGUGGCAAACGGGUGAGUAACACGUGAACAAUCUACCUUCGAGUGGAGAAUAACUUCGCGAAAGCGGUGCUAAUACUCCAUAACAUCCCUGGGCUGCAUGGUUCGGGGAUCAAAGGCUUCGGUCGCUCGGAGAGGAGUUCGCGCCUGAUUAGCUAGUUGGUGAGGUAACGGCUCACCAAGGCAACGAUCAGUAGCCGGCCUGAGAGGGUGAUCGGCCACACUGGAACUGAGACACGGUCCAGACUCCUACGGGAGGCAGCAGUGGGGAAUUUUGCGCAAUGGGCGAAAGCCUGACGCAGCAACGCCGCGUGGAGGAUGAAGGCCUUCGGGUCGUAAACUCCUGUCGGGGGGGACGAAAGCUUCGCGCAAGCGGAGUUUGACUGUACCCCCGGAGGAAGCCACGGCUAACUCCGUGCCAGCAGCCGCGGUAAUACGGAGGUGGCAAGCGUUGUUCGGAAUUACUGGGCGUAAAGGGCGCGUAGGCGGCUUCGCAAGUCAGAUGUGAAAGCCCCGGGCUUAACUCGGGAUCUGCAUCUGAAACUGCGUUGCUCGAGUCCUGGAGGGGGUAGUGGAAUUCCCAGUGUAGCGGUGAAAUGCGUAGAUAUUGGGAGGAACACCUGUGGCGAAGGCGGCUACCUGGACAGUGACUGACGCUGAGGCGCGAAAGCUAGGGUAGCAAACGGGAUUAGAUACCCCGGUAGUCCUAGCCGUAAACGAUGGACACUUGGUGCCGGGGGUAUUGAGUCCCCCGGUGCCGGAGUUAACACGGUAA